ACUCCUCCACCAUACUUGAUGUUCCAACAGUGUGGCAAAAAAUAACUAUAAAGAAUAUUCAAUCGGCAUGGCAGUGGUUGCAUUGCUCUUUUAAUUUGCACAUAUGCCUUUUUUAGCUUUGGUGCUAAGCUCAAGUCAAAAAUUCACCAAAACAUCGAGCCAAAUUAACACUCAUAAAAGCAGCCAUUUCUACAUCAUACAA
rnacentral:lncRNA from 1 species